rnacentral:rRNA from 1 species
AUUGAACGCUGGCGGCAGGCUUAACACAUGCAAGUCGAACGAGUGGCGGACGGGUGAGUAAUGUCUGGGAAACUGCCUGAUGGGGGGGGAUAACUCCUGGAAACGGUAGCUAAUACCGCAUACCAUCAGAUGUGCCCAGAUGGGAUUAGCUAGUAGGUGGGGUAAAGGCUCACCAAGGCGACGAUCCCUAGCUGGUCUGAGAGGAUGACCAGCCACACGGGAACGGAGACACGGUCCAGACUCCUACGGGAGGCAGCAGUGGGGAAUAUUGCACAAUGGGCGCAAGCCUGAUGCAGCCAUGCGGCGUGUGUGAAGAAGGCCUUCGGGUUGUAAAGCACGUUCAGCGGGGAGGCGUUACUCGCAGAAGAAGCACCGGCUAACUCCGUGCCAGCAGCCGCGGUAAUAC